rnacentral:lncRNA from 1 species
GGAAAUGAAAGGUAGGAUCACAAACAAAGACAAUGUUUGCACCAAGUUCUAAGCACCAUGCUUACAACUAAGUUGCUAAAAUUCUCCAUAGCCAUAAAAAAAUUGUUAAUCAAGGUCAAAUACCAUGCUUAUCCCAAGAUCGAUAACUCUUCCUAGCACAAGAAAAAUAGAGCGUAUUGCAAAGCUUAAAAACCAACUAAUGCAAUAUGGAGAUCAUAUGAAAAGUUAG